rnacentral:rRNA from 1 species
AUUGAACGCUGGCGGCAUGCUUUACACAUGCAAGUCGAACGGGCUUAGGUGCUUGCACCUAAGUUAGUGGCGAACGGGUGAGUAAUGCAUCGGAACGUACCGUGUAGUGGGGGAUAACCCGGCGAAAGUAGGAUUAAUACCGCAUAAGAUCUAAGGAUGAAAGCAGGGGACCGCAAGACCUUGCGCUAUACGAGCGGCCGAUGUCGGAUCAGCAAGUUGGGAGGGUAGAGGCCUACCAAGGCAACGAUCCGUAGCGGGUCUGAGAGGAUGAUCCGCCACACUGGGACUGAGACACGGCCCAGACUCCUACGGGAGGCAGCAGUGGGGAAUUUUGGACAAUGGGCGAAAGCCUGAUCCAGCCAUGCCGCGUGAGUGAAGAAGGCCUUCGGGUUGUAAAGCUCUUUUGUCCGGGAGCAAAUCCUGUUCACUAAUACUGAGCGGGGCUGAGAGUACCGGAAGAAUAAGCACCGGCUAACUACGUGCCAGCAGCCGCCGUAACAC